rnacentral:rRNA from 1 species
ACGAGCACGAGUUCAUCUCCUUGUCCGAAGGUCUGGGUAAUCUUGUUAAACUCUGUCGUGCUGGGGAUAGAGCAUUGCAAUUAUUGCUCUUCAACGAGGAAUUCCUAGUAGGCGCAAGUCAUCAGCUUGCGCCGAUUACGU